GACUCUGGUGGUGGAGAAGUUCAGUCCUGAACUGAAAACCUGCCACAUAACAAAGCCCAGAUCAAGAAGAG
rnacentral:lncRNA from 1 species